rnacentral:misc_RNA from 1 species
UCCGAGUUGACCCCGGCAGUCUCCCAUGAGUCCCCACCCGAAGUGCUGGUAACACAGGACAAGGGUUGCGCUCGUUGCGGGACUUAACCCAACAUCUCACGACGCGAGCUGACGACAGCCAUGCAACACCUGUAUACGGCCCAAAAGGACCCGACAUCUCUGCCGGUACACCGUAUAUGUCAAGCCCAGGUAAGGUUCUUCGCGUUGCAUCGAAUUAAUCCGCAUGCUCCGCCGCUUGUGCGGGCCCCCGUCAAUUCCUUUGAGUUUUAAUCUUGCGACCGUACUCCCCAGGCGGUCAACUUAUCGCGUUAGCUGCGCCACUAAGGGCCAAACGCCCCCAACGGCUAGUUGACAUCGUUUACGGCGUGGACUAC